UUUUCCGGUUGAUCCUGCCGGACCUGACUGCUAUCGGAUUGAUACUAAGCCAUGCGAGUCAUUGUAGCAAUACAAGGCAGACGGCUCAGUAACGCGUAGUCAACCUAACCUAUGGACGGGAAUAACCUCGGGAAACUGAGAAUAAUGCCCGAUAGAACACAAUACCUGGAACGGUUUGUGUUCCAAAUGAUUUAUCGCCGUAGGAUGGGACUGCGGCCUAUCAGUUUGUUGAUGAGGUAAUGGCCCACCAAGACUAUUACAGGUACGGGCUCUGAGAGGAGUAGCCCGGAGAUGGGUACUGAGACACGGACCCAGGCCCUAUGGGGCGCAGCAGGCGAGAAAACUUUGCAAUGUGCGAAAGCACGACAAGGUUAAUCCGAGUGGUUUGUGCUAAACGAACCUUUUGUUAGUCCUAGAAACACUAACGAAUAAGGGGUGGGCAAGUUCUGGUGUCAGCCGCCGCGGUAAAACCAGCACCUCAAGUGGUCAGGAUGAUUAUUGGGCCUAAAGCAUCCGUAGCCGGCUCUGUAAGUUUUCGGUUAAAUCUGUACGCUUAACGUACAGGCUGCCGGGAAUACUGCAGAGCUAGGGAGUGGGAGAGGUAGACGGUACUCGGGAGGAAGGGGUAAAAUCCUUUGAUCUCUCGAUGACCACCUGUGGCGAAGGCGGUCUACCAGAACACGUCCGACGGUGAGGGAUGAAAGCUGGGGGAGCAAACCGGAUUAGAUACCCGGGUAGUCCCAGCUGUAAACUAUGCAAACUCAGUGAUGCAUUGACUUGUGGUCAAUGCAGUGCUGCAGGGAAGCCGUUAAGUUUGCCGCCUGGGAAGUACGUACGCAAGUAUGAAACUUAAAGGAAUUGGCGGGGGAGCACCACAAGGGGUGAAGCCUGCGGUUCAAUUGGACUCAACGCCGGU
rnacentral:rRNA from 1 species